AUUAUACAGCUUCAUCAAAUCUGUCGCGAACACUAGUUCGGGUUGUUUAAUAAACACAUAUCUAGUAGAUAAGAAACGUUCUAUGCGAGGACGUGCAAAAACUAUUUGACAAGAUUUACACUAGAAUUUGAGCGCAAAGUUUCAACAACUCGCAAUCACAUCCAUUAAACUUGCAAAUAUGAUCCAGUGGCCUAAUUAUGAAAGGAAAACAUAACAAGCACAAUAAACCUACGAGUUCAACUGAAACAGAGUGCAGUACAGUUGAUUCUGAUGACGAACGAAGUUUUUCAAAAUGGCUGAGAUCAGAUGAAGGAAUUGAGAAUUUGAAGCUGUUUAUUUUGGGAAAUACUGUAGUAUUAUUUUUUAUACUUGCUUCUCCUAUUAUUCAAGAAACUUUAGAUGGUUUAUACUAUUUAUAUAUUGAUUACACAGAUCGUAAAUAAUUAAUAAAAAACUAGUAUAAAUAUACAAAAUAAUAUCAAUCUUCUUAGGAAUAAGUUGUCUUGUAAUAAUGAUUGCUGUUAUUUUUAGAGGCUUUAUAUUCAUAUUUUUUAUGUUUUGGUAUAGUUUAAGAAUAUUGAAUUUCGUCGACACAUACUUCAAAGAAAAUUUUAAAGAGUACUUAGCAAAUGAAUCAAAGAAUAAUGGAUAUAGUCAACCAUUGAAGAAUUUUAGUGAUAUCAUUUACUUAGAAAAGAAUGAGACGACGUGUUCAGAAGAUUUCAAGUCAGUCAUUUGUACUAAAAUUCAUUAUUAUAGAAGUAUCUUCCUAGAAAACUGAUGAAAUAUGAAUUGAUUUUCAAUGUCACUCACAAUCCUUCAAAUAUGAGGUAAUUAUAAAUGAUUGUCAUAUUUGCAGCAUAUACUUAAUAGGGAUAUAUCGGAAUAUAUGACUUCACUUUUAAUAAAAUCAACUUUAAAAAUAGAGUCAUCAGAACAUUAUCGCAUUCGACACAUAGCUGGUAUUUUUAACCUGAAAUUUUGUCUUUUCCAUAAAGUAGUGGUAGUUAAGGGGGUUGACCAUGGAUUAUUAGAUACUAUUUUCUUUAAAAAGACAAUGAAAAAAAAACACAAACUGUAUAGCAAGCACCAAUAAAUUGGUUAUGUAUUAAAACCAAUACUCUUUUGUCUUCUAUUUGUAUAAGAUUAAACACAAAAAAAUACGGAGCAGUCUUGCAUAUUAUAACAAUUUCAUUACUUGAAACUACUCUUUCUAAAAAUAUUUAUGAUAAUAAUUUUCAUGAAUAUCACAUUUUUCUUAUAACUAGCAUUGGUAGCACCAAUCAUUCCGAAUUUCUCACGACAAUCCUGAUUUGCUUGUGUCUCACUUUGUCUGCCUCCGAGACAUGGAUUUUGCUGGGUUUGUGAGUUAAUUAGUGGAAAUGUAACAGUAAAGUUCAUUGGAAUUCGUGUAUGAAGGCGAAAUACAAAGACAAUAGCUUUUCAAAUAUGUACCAACUAGGUGGUUGUCAGGCCCGGCACUUGAGAAUAUUUUAAAAUUUCAUCAUGCUAUUGUUUCGUAUUUUCUCUCUUUGUAAGAUGAUUCUCCAAAUGCGUUAAAACAACUAUUGGAAUCAGAAGAUUUUGACCAAGAACAACCAGAGACAUUUGAUAAUAUAUGAUAAUAUAUGCGCCACUAUAAAAAAACAAAAAAAACUUCUUCAGAUAACUGAAACUAGCUUUACUGAAUUCGUUACAACUAUGAAACUUCUAAGAGAACAAAUCAUUGCUAGAAGGCUAGAAGAGAAGAAUAGUUUUAUGGUUCCCACCUGAGGAUGGCCAAGGAUCAAGCAGAUGUAGACGUUUUUCAAAGUGCAGUUUCAGGUUUCCAAAUUUUUAAUGAUAUUUGGUACAAUUUAGUUGAGCAAAUAGGAUAUCUCUUUUGAAAUCCUUUUAGAAGCUGCCACUGCACUGGGUAUUGUGGAAAAAAUCUCCGUAGAUCAUGUAUUCGAUAAUCAUUCUAUCGUUUUUUUUUCUGAAGGUAGCAAGCGUCCAGCUUUGAUAAAUCAGGAGAAAUUGGGUCAGAUUUUUGCUGGUACCAAAGAAUCUAAUUUGGACACGUUAAAAACCGUUGUCAUCUGUGUACUGAGUGUUCCUCCUGCUAUCGCCUAUGUCGAGAGGGUAUUUUCUCACCGGAAGUUCAAAUAGAUGAAGUUUAGAAAUCACUGCUGCGUGUAUUUGAUGAGACCCGAACUUCUCAUAACUUAAAUUUAGAAAUGAUUUGCACUGAUUUUUUGUCUAGCAACAUGAUUCUCCACUAUUAUAAAACGUUUUAUCAAGCACUGUAUAUUCAGGUAUAUUUUUUUGUUUAGGGAGAUCUAUUUUAUAUGUACUAAUUUUUAAAUGUUAAGCAAUAAUCAUUUAAAUUGUAUCUUUUACUUGGAACAAAAAAAUAAAACAAA